GAUCUGCUCCUUCUCCUGGGUGCGCAUGGCCUGGAUGUUGAGAUCCACCUCCUAAGGGGGCUCAGCAGACUCUGGUUGACUGUGACAGCGGUGAUGCCUCCCAUGCCGCUGGUCCCACCAUAGCCUCUGCCCAGGCCAGCCCAGAAGCUGCUGCUGCCCAGUAGGGAGAAGCUCUAAGAGCUGAUGCAGGCACUGGGCCCACUCGUGUAGGAGCGGCAUAGCAGCAUUUUUACAAUAAUCCAGUAACCCUGUUGUUCAUCAAUAGCAUAAUUGAGAAAUAUAUUGUGAUAUAUUUAUACGAUGGAAACUAUUCAGCAAUGGGAAUGACUGAACUACAGCACUAUGAAUCUUAUAGAUUGAGUAUAUGAAGCAAGAUACAAAUUACUCCAUUUAUAUAAAUGUAAAAAAAAAAAACAAAACAAAACCUAGGCAGCAUAGCCAAACCCUGUCUGCACAAAAAUGUAAAAUAAAAUUAGUCAGGUAUGGUGGAGGAUGAGUCCUAGCUACUUAGGAGGCUGAGGUGUGUGGAUCACUUGAGCCAGGAGUUCAAGGCUGCAGUGAGUCAUGACAGGACAGAGGGAGAUCUGUCUACUGUCUGUCCCUAUAGAAAAAGAAAAAAACAGGAUGCCAGAGGAAAUGCAUCAAUGCGGAGGGACAGAAACAGCAGUGUGGCCUGGGAAAGUGGGACAGGCCAGGCGCGGUGGCUCAUGCCUGUAAUCCCAACACUUUGGGAGGCCGAGGUGGGCGGAUCAUGAGGUCAGGAGAUCGAGACCAUCCUGGCUAACACAGUGAAACCCCGUCUCUACUAAAAAUACACACACACACAAAAA
rnacentral:lncRNA from 1 species